UACGGAGGAGGCAAGCGUUAUCCGGAAUUAUUGGGCGUAAAGCGUCCGCAGGUGGCACCUCAAGUCUGCUGUCAAAGACCGGGGCUUAACCCCAGAAAGGCAGUGGAAACUGAAGUGCUAGAGUGCAGUAGGGGUAGAGGGAAUUCCCGGUGUAGCGGUGAAAUGCGUAGAGAUCGGGAAGAACAUCGGUGGCGAAAGCGGCUCACUGGCCCGGUACUGACGCUGAGGUGCGAAAGCGUGGGGAGCAAACAGG
rnacentral:rRNA from 1 species